UGAGGAAUUUUGCGCAAUGGACGAAAGUCUGACGCAGCGACGCCGCGUGAAGGAAGACGCCUCUCGGGGUAUAUACUUCUUUUCUCGCCGAUGAAGUCUGACAUUAAGCGAGGAAUAAGGACCUGCUAACUACGUGCCAGCAGCAGCGGUAAUACGUAGGGUCCAAGCGUUAUCCGGAUUUACUGGGCAUAAAGAGUGCGUAGGUGGUUUUUUAAGUUGUUAAUGAAAUUUUAGGGCUCAACCUUAAAAAGCUUGACAAUACUAAGAAACUUUGAGGCCAGAAGGGGCAAGUGGAAUUUUCGGUGUAGGAGUGAAAUCCGUUGAUAUCGAAAAGAACACCAAUGGCGAAGGCAACUUGCUAGUUUGGCUCUGACACUGAGGCACGAAAGCGUGGGUAGCGAACGGG
rnacentral:rRNA from 1 species